rnacentral:misc_RNA from 1 species
UAUACAAGGCCAAGGGGCAAGCUUUCCGAAAGGAUCGAGCUUGCUCUCUGAACCCUACCCUUGCUUUUUGCGUACCCAUUGUUUCCUCGGCAGGCUUGCCUGCCAGUAGGACCUCCUUAAACCCUUUGUAAUUGCAGUCAGCGUCAGAAACAACGUAAUCGUUACAACUUUCAACAACGGAUCUCUUGGUUCU